GCGCCCCCUGGCCCCCGGGCAUCACGGAGUGACCCGCCCGGAGUCUGGUUCCGGGAGUGGCUGCGGGCCCGGGGCCCCACCGGCUGUCCCCACCCCCGCCCUUGCCCUGACGCUCUCUGCCGACCGGUCCCCCUCUCCCGAUCGCCCUGCGACACCUGCUCUCCCCGCUUCUUCCCCUCUGCCCUCCCUCGGUCAAGGUGCACAGCCCGGUCCGCUCACCGCCGCCGCCCCCCACCCGCUGACCCCGGGCUGACCCCGGCUGCCUCUUCGCGCUCCUGAAAGCGCACUGCCCACCUCCCGGGACUCCCCAAAGCCCGGGGGCAGCCCUCCCGCCCACUAUUUGACCCACGCGGGCCGCUCCCCGCCCCUGACGCCUGGGACCCGGGCCAGCCCUCCCCCGAUGUGCCCUCCCCGCGCCCGGCCCGCCCGCCCUCCGCUGUCCGCACCCCUGUCCGCUUCGUGGACGCCCGCCCACCCAGCCCUGCCCGGGCGUCACGGAAACCCUGGAUGACGACAGGUGCCUCCUGGCUCCUGGGAUUGCGGUGGGGGGCAAAGGGUCACCCUGAGUCAGCCGGACUGAGUAGGCGCAGGGGGCGUUGCUGGGGUCCGGCAGGGGUGCCCCACUGUUGGGACUGUCCCAGAGGAGCUGCGACGCGGACCGCAGAGGUCUAGAUGCCCAGAUGCCCAGGAGCUGCCUCCCAAGAAGAGAGAUCACCUGUGCCCCCCCUCCAAGGGAAUGGAAAGCUGCUUCUGGAAGCAGAGGUGUUGGGGGGAGCUGCCUAGGGCCUUUCCGGAGCUACAGGUGCCCCCAGCCCGUCCCUCAGCACGCCAGCCCCUCUGAAAGCUGACCGCGUCUGCCAGGGUGUCCCGCUCAGAUGCCACUGAAGAGGAGUCUCCCCACCCAGAGGCUCUUCUGGGUACCGGAAACUUCAGCUAUGAAAGACUGCCGUCAAGGAGCCGGCACCCUGGCAGGGACAUGCUGAACAGACAACUCACACCUGGAACGUGUGUACAUCCGUGGCCCAUCUCUCCCGCCGUAAAGAACGCUCUAGAAGGACAUUGCCUAUCUUGUCCAUGGCUCUAGCUCCAGCACAUAGGACAGUGGUGACCAGCACACCCGAGAAAAGGGGAGACUGAAGACAGACACAUAUAGAGGGAAAGGUGAUGUGAAGACACAGAAAGAGUGCCAUCUACGAACCAUGGAACCCCUGAGACCGCCAGAAACUCGGAGGGAGGCCUGGAACAGACAUCUUGAUCUUGAACUCCUAGUCUCGAGAAUUUUGAGCCGAUAUAUCUGUGUCGUUGGUGGCCUUUGUUAGGGCAGCCCCGGGAAAGGAAGACACCCAGCUUAUUCCUUCUGUGGUCCCCUGUGGGCGUGUCCAGCUCCCCAUCCGUCCGUGCCCCACACUGUAGACUAUUGUCAACUGUCUUUCCAAUGCUGAGCGCCCUGAAGGCAAGAGAACUAUGUCUGAUUGGCUCUGCUCCCUAGCACCCAAGCUGUGUUUUUAUCCUACGUUGGAAAAUGUGUAGUGAGCCCCUCCCAAGUGUCAGGUAUAAGGCCAGGCCUGGGGACAACAAAAUGAAGCCACAGUUUGUGUCAAAUGCCAUGGGAAACUGGGAGGGAGAGAAAGACAGAGAGAGAGAGAGGGAGGGAGAGAGACUGCCUGGCAGAGGGCAGGAACUCCACGAAUGCCCCAGACUUCCGUAAAAAUCACCUCUGCUUUUAUUUCAUUUUGUGGUUUUACAGCGCACAUUAAUUCAUUGUCUCUUUCAUGAAUCAAGCUCCAGUCAGCAUGGAUUUGUAGGGACAGGCGAUAUCAAGUGGCGGGGGGUGGGGGGGGGGCAGUGGGUGAGUUCUAAAGCCAGGCUUCGAGGUCCGAUUCCUGGCUCCAUCACUUACUGCCGUGACCCUGGACAAGUUACUGAGCCUCACUGUGCCUCAAUUUCCUCAUCUGUAAAACGGAGCUCUUCUUUUAGUAU